rnacentral:rRNA from 1 species
AUUGAACGCUGGCGGCAGGCUUAACACAUGCAAGUCGAGCGGAGAUGAGGUGCUUGCACCUUAUCUUAGCGGCGGACGGGUGAGUAAUGCUUAGGAAUCCGCCUAUUAGUGGGGGACAACAUUCCGAAAGGAAUGCUAAUACCGCAUACGUCCUACGGGAGAAAGCAGGGGAUCUUCGGACCUUGCGCUAAUAGAUGAGCCUAAGUCGGAUUAGCUAGUUGGGGGGGUAAAGGCCUACCAAGGCGACGAUCUGUAGCGGGUCUGAGAAGAGGAUCCGCCACACGGGGACUGCGACACGGCCCAGACUCCUACGGGAGGCAGCAGUGGGGAAUAUUGGACAAUGGGGGGAACCCUGAUCCAGCCAUGCCGCGUGUGUGAAGAAGGCCUUAUGGUUGUAAAGCACUUUAAGCGAGGAGGAGGCUACUGAGACUAAUACUCUUGGAUAGUGGACGUUACUCGCAGAAUAAGCACCGGCUAACUCUGUGCCAGCCGCCGCCGUAAGAC